AUUGAACGCUGGCGGCAGGCCUAACACAUGCAAGUCGAACGAGUGGCGGACGGGUGAGCAAUGUCUGGGAAACUGCCUGACGGAGGGAUAUAACUACUGGAAACGGUAGCUAAUACCGCAUACCAUCGGAUGUGCCCAGAUGGGAUUCGCUAGUGGGGGGGGUAAAGGCUCACCUAGGCGACGAUCCCUAGCUGGUCUGAGAGGAUGACCAGCCACACUGGGACUGAUACACGGUCCAGACUCCUACGGGAGGCAGCAGUAGGGAUUAUUGCGCAAUGGGCGCAAGCCUGAUGGAGCCAUGCCGCGUGUGUGAAGAAUGCCUUCGGAUUGUAAAACACUUUCAUCGGGGAGGCGGUACCCUCCGAAGAAGCACCGGCUAACUCCGUGCCAGCAGCCGCGGUAAUUC
rnacentral:rRNA from 1 species